GAUGAAGAACGCAGCGAAAUGCGAUAAGUAAUGUGAAUUGCAGAAUUCAGUGAAUGAUCGAAUCUUUGAACGCACAUUGCGCCCGCCAGUAUUCUGGCGGGCAUGCCUGUUCGGGCGUCAUUACAACCCUCAGGCCCCCGGGCCUGGCGUUGGGGAUCGGCGGAAGCCCCCUGCGGGCACAACGCCGUCCCCCAAAUACAGUGGCGGUCCCGCCGCAGCUUCCAUUGCGUAGUAGCUAACACCUCGCAACUGGAGAGCGGCGCGGCCACGCCGUAAAACACCCAACUUCUGAAUGUUGACCUCGAAUCAGGUAGGAAUACCCGCUGAACUUAAGCAUAUCAAUAAGCGGAGGA
rnacentral:misc_RNA from 1 species